CACGUAAGGGGCAAGCGUUGUUCGGAAUUAUUGGGCGUAAAGGGCGUGUAGGCGGUUUUGUAAGCCUGGUGUAAAAGGUGUACGCUUAACGUACAUAGGUCGCUGGGGACUGCGAGACUAGAGUUUAGGAAGGGGAGCUGGAAUUCCAGGUGUAGGGGUGAAAUCUGUAGAUAUCUGGAAGAACACCAAUGGCGAAGGCAAGCUUCUGGCCAUAGACUGACGCUGAGGCGCGAAAGCGUGGGGAGCAAACAGG
rnacentral:rRNA from 1 species